UACGUAGGGUGCGAGCGUUGUCCGGAUUUAUUGGGCGUAAAGAGCUCGUAGGCGGCUUGUUGCGUCGACCGUGAAAACCCGGGGCUCAACUUCGGGCUUGCGGUCGAUACGGGCGGGCUAGAGUUCGGUAGGGGAGACUGGAAUUCCUGGUGUAGCAGUGAAAUGCGCAGAUAUCGGGAGGAACACCAGUAGCGAAGGCGGCACUCUGGGCCGGAACUGACGCUGAGGAGCGAAAGCGUGGGGAGCGAACAGG
rnacentral:rRNA from 1 species